ensembl:lncRNA
GCAUCUGCCAUUCAGCUGUAUUAGGGCAAAUAUUUGGGGUGACAGUGGAAUCAACCAAUCACAUUGACCUUUAAUAGGCAACAGAUCGAAGGCCAACAGGUCACUGUGCCAUAGCGAGCAAUAGUUUUCCCACGCCAUAGAUAGCUAGCUUUUGUUGGAAGUUAUUUUCCGGCGUCUGCAGCAGGCGUCAUGGAAGAGGAUGUUGUUGCUAAUUUGUUAGCUUCUUUGUUAGCUUCUCCCUUUUCAAGUUUCAAAUGAUCAUCUGUUGAGUGGAACAAUGUUUUUAUUACAGCUUGAAUGCUGUUGUUAGCCAUUUCUUUGAAAAUAACCUGUGUGUGAAACAUUGUUGCGUUUAACCUUUAGAUCAGUGGUUACUUCGAUUGGGACAUGUUUAGCCUAAUGAUCGUGUUUUUUGUGUUCUUAUGAUUGGGACCUACUGGCUUGGUAUGUCAGAGUGAAUGGACUGCUGUCGUUCUAUUGGCCCUAUGCAGUGGUGUAGUGGUCCAUGGAAAAGUGGGUCCUGUCUGACAAAUCCUCAAAAUCUUUCAGAUUUUCACUCUCAAAAUGACACUUAACAACACUUAUUGUUGUUGUAAGUCCACAAGAAAGCUUAAACCACAUCAGGAAAUCAUUUUUAAGGUCUGGGAAGAAGAGAAAAAAAAGAAUUUUGGAAGGUGUAGUUAUUAACCUUUAGUUAACUUGAGCACAACAAACGCCUUCCCCAUUGAUACAAAUCAGCAUUAUAUCAUUCUGUCAGGUAGGUCACAUUGCAAUCAACAUUUAAUUGGGAGGGUUUUUUAAGAAAACCUUUAGAGAUGUUUAUCCAAACAGUGCAUAAUGACUGAAUCGCUAAUAGCCUACUAACCAAGAGUAAGGACCAAACUUUUUCAACACCUGGUUUGCAUACCUAUUGUUGCCUUAGUUAGCAUUUACUGGUAGAUAUCAUAAGUUGAAACGUCUUUCCUACCCUAUCCGGCUACCGAUGUCAUUCAUCUGUGAGCUGCUCCAUGCCAACACUAGUUGAGAGCUGCACACUCUUGCUGCCCCUGGAGAUGAUAUUCUGCUGAAACUAGGAUGCGUGUGGCAGCGCGCAUGUGAAUAUAUUUCCAGUGAUUUGCGGUUGUUCAGGCUACUUUGUGCAUGAUUUCACUACAUCAUUCUACUACAUUAUUGAUAAGUCGUAUACCUCCACUAUACUACAUUGAUACGCAUCAGUAGGGAUUAAGAAGUGAGUAUAUGCAAUGCCCACUGAAAAUAAAGUUGGCAUAGGGGCGUAUACCCUCCACAACGCCACUUUGUGUUUUACCCUCCACAACGCCACUUUGUGUUUUACCCUCCACAACGCCACUUUGUGUUUUACCCUCCACAAGGCCCUUUGUGUUUUACAAAACAUGCACUGUCCUACGAGUGUCCUUUCAGAAUCACCAACCUGUCACACACUGAAGACCUAUAGGUUCACCACUGUACUAACCUGUCACACUGAAGACCUAUAGGUUCACCACUGUACUAACCUGUCACACACUGAAGACCUAUAGGUUCACCACUGUCACACACUGAAGACCUAUAGGUUCACCACUGAAGACCUAUAGGUUCACCACUGAAGACCUAUAGGUUCACCACUGAAAACCCAUAGGUUCACCACUGAAGACCUAUAGGUUCACCACUGAAGACCUAGGUCCAAUAGGUUCACCACUGAAGACCUAGGUCCAAUAGGUUCACCACUGAAGACCUAUAGGUUCACCACUGAAGACCCAUAGGUUCACCACUGAAGACCCAUAGGUUCACCACUGAAGACCCAUAGGUUCACCACGGAAGACCCAUAGGUUCACCACUGAAGACCUAUAGGUUCACCACUGAAGACCUAUAGGUUCACCACUGUCACACACUGAAGACCUAUAGGUUCACCACUGAAAACCCAUAGGUUCACCACUGAAGACCUAUAGGUUCACCACUGUCACACACUGAAGACCUAUAGGUUCACCACUGAAAACCCAUAGGUUCACCACUGAAGACCUAUAGGUUCACCACUGAAGACCUAGGUCCAAUAGGUUCACCACUGAAGACCUAGGUCCAAUAGGUUCACCACUGAAGACCUAUAGGUUCACCACUGAAGACCCAUAGGUUCACCACUGAAGACCCAUAGGUUCACCACUGAAGACCCAUAGGUUCACCACGGAAGACCCAUAGGUUCACCACUGAAGACCUAUAGGUUCACCACUGAAGACCUAUAGGUUCACCACUGCACAGACAUGUCUACAAUUGAUAUAAAGACUGUUAUAAUUUCCCCGUCUCAGUCUCAUCUUUACUCAUAGUGAGCACACAACCUUCCAUCAAUUUCCCCCACUC